rnacentral:tRNA from 1 species
ACUUAAAUAGCUUAUAUUUAGAGUAUAACAUUGAAGCUGUUAUGGAAAUUAUUUAAUUUUUAAGUA